UGUUUAGAUAACAUUAGAAAGAAAUAAAAUGAGAUAUUUUUCGUACUUAGUACCAUAUGUUGUCAUGACUGAGUGAAUAGUGUACUUGAUUUGAUUUCAGAAUUCAGAUCUCUUUGCAAAUGUGUUUCAUCCUUAGGCACAAUUCUAGCUUAAUUAUGAAUCAUUAUUCUUCUCACAGUACUUAACUCACUUAAGACAUUGCAAUAUGUCUUAGAGUUUGUUAGAUUUUAUUUUGAUUAUAUGUUUAUGUUGUAAAAACAUCUCAAUUUGAAAAUCUUGCUGUUUUACAUACUUAUUGGAUAUACUCCCUUCAUCAUAAUUGUAACUUUGGUGCUUAAGUGUAAAAUGUUAUAGUUAAUUUGCUAUUGUUGUUAUUGGUUCAAAUGAUGGUGCUCCAGAAAUAUUGAUGGCAUUCCUUUAAUGAUAAAUGUUAAAAAAAAAAAGAGACAAAGGAGUAUUUUGCCUGUGAUAUUAAAUUUGUCAUUGUUGAUGAUUUGAUGUAAACCUCUCAUUUGUUCCUAUUGUAUUUUUGACUUAUCUGGUUCCAUAUUUUACCUUGCCAUUGGUAAAAACUUUUAUACCUUUUAACUGUUGCCUUAUUGUGAGAAGUUAAAUGAAUAUUUCCCUUAAAACUAUUGAUCAAUAUAUUGUAGAAAAUAAUUUUGCUACUGCUUAGAAUAUGUUAAAAACAAUUUCUUAUAAUUUAAUUUCUAUAUACAGUACUGCCCCAUUAUAGCACAGUCAUUGGGGGUUCAUAAAAUAUCAUUGGGGUCAUACUAAAUUGGGGUUCAAGAAAUUCAGGUGUUCAAGAAAAUCCGGAAAGAGCAAAAAAAAUGGGUCCAAUGACUCAUUGCAUUAUAUCCGAAUUUGAGCUAAACUGGGGUGCAUUAUAAUGAGGCUGCACAGUAUUUGUUUUCUUAUUUAUCUUCAUACUUUUUGUUGCUGCUUCUUUUGUUUUCUUUUGUUUAGUGUUAACUUUAAUUAGUGGAUAAUUAUCCCUCAUUUAGUAAACAACAACAGUUAGAUAUAUAAUUAUAGACUUUUAUCUUACAAAAUUAUCAGCUUUUAUAACAAUAUUAAACCAUAUUCAGCUUAGAAAUGACAAAUUCAAAUUUAAAGUUUGAAAGAUAUACAACAAAGAUAAUAUGCAUACUUUCUGAUAUCAUCUUUGUUGUAUAAUAAAGAAACAAUAUAAUAUUAAUCUUAAACCAUUGAUAAAAACAUGACUUGCUUUCUUUGUUCAUUUUUACAUCCAUUUUUUCCAUGUUAGCAUGUGUUAGAUGAAUAUAUUAUUGAGGCAUUGUCUUCAACCAAAUGCCCUUUCUGUCACUAACCCUCACUUGCUUUUCAAGUUAUACCCCCAUCUCAUCUAAGCCAUACUCACAUGGAAAAAUAGACAUUGCUUUCUUAUAAUCCUAAAUAUUUUCUCAAUAUUUUGAAAGUGUUUUGUUUUGUAAUAAUUCACAUAUUUAUCAUGAUAACUAAUUUAAGAUUAUAUAAAUGAACCAUGAAAUCAAUCUUUCUUAUUCCAAAGAAAUAUUUCCCAAAUUUCUCUACUGAUAAAGAAAAAAUUCCUUUGGUAUUUGACUGAAAAUUAUUGGUCUGAUAUUUGGAAUAUAUUCACAUUGAUAAACACAUCUUGUGUGGCAAAUACGAGGUGCUUAACUAUUAACAUCUUACAAUAUUUACUUUGAAAUAAGUAACUCUUGAAUUUUCCUUUAUCAUGGUGUUUAUACACAAUUUAAUCUGAAAGAGAAUGGUUUUAAAGUUAUAAAUCUGAUGAGAAUCCUCAAUAUUCUUACUGAAGUCCAAACAUUAGCAACAAUUAAAAAACAAAAAAUAUUUUAGCAAGAGCUAAAUCCUAAUCACUGAAUUUAUAUCAAUAUGACAAAAAUAUUAAAAGAAGGAAAAUACAACUAUCAGGGUUAAAUGAAAGUGGUAAAUUUACUAUUCUACGACCAAGUAAAAUUGGUUUCUCUUCAUUAUUUCUGUUGUGUGUGAAGCUUUGCAUCUAAAACAUUUACCUGUCUAAAAAGAGUAGCUAUUCUUCUUACUUGAGCAAUUUUCAAUCUGUUCUAAAUUAAUCUUUUUAAGAAUUAAACUAAAUCUAACAUUUCUUAUAAUAAUGAUAGUAAAGCAUAGUAAAGCUUAAGUUUAGAAAUAGGUUUCUUGCAAGUUAUUAAUUUUCAAGAAAGAAAUUUUAUAAAAUUUUACAAGAUAUUUUGUUGCUAAAAUAUUUCUCAAUAGAUACUGAUUCCUUACAGGUACAAAGCUUCAAGCUGGUAGAAGGAAAAUAUGAUGCCAUACUUUUCAAGAACCCUAAGAAAAAAUUAAUUCUUUCUGACUUGUAAAGAUCCAUUUGUGGUAUUCAAUUCCAAUUUGGUUUUAUCCAAGGGUUGGAUAAUACAACCACUCCUGGUUAGGAUGCCAGUCAAUCGCAGAUAGCCUUUCCUACUGGAGAAAUUGAAGACAGAAAAUUCAGAACUGCUACCCAACACAAUACUUAAUAAUUUCACAGUACUGCUGCUUACAGUAGUGAACGAUACUACCAACUUGGUAUCUAUGAUGCUUACUUUGAUAUAAGUUGACUGAGCUUUUCAGAGUUAAGAGUGUUUAUUGUGAACAAGAUACAGUAUUAAUAUAGAAUAUGAUUUCGGGUAUUGUCUAACAUUACUGACUCGGCCAUCAUGAUUCCCACGGAACAACAGAUAGAUAACAAUAUUAAUUAACUGAUAUCAAUUUUAACAAUUAUAAUAGUGCACACAAGCAAUGUAGUCUUGGCCAUCAGUUCUACUAUUGCGAAAUUCUUUUAACUUGACCAGUAAGAUAAAGUGGAAGUCUAGAGAGAACCUUUACCCUAUAUAUCAAAGUUAUAUUAUUGUGUAAGUCAAAGUGAUUUCAAACAUAUCAGAUUGAAAUUUAAGAAAUAUACUCCAUGUGUAAUCUCUUUAAAAACUUGAUGUUUUUGAUAUGGGAACUUUUGUGUAAUAUUGUUGUUCGCAUGUGUGCUGUCUAUUCCAAGACCAGUUUUCUAUCUGUGAUAAAAUUGUAAGCCUGAUGACACAUAACUGUAUUUCAAUAUGUAUAGCUUUUUACAGUUAAAUAUUUUCUCUCGGACAUUUUCACAUUUUUGCCUCUCUUUCAGUUUUAAGUUGGUAGCAUUUCAAAUUGUUAGGUUAUUCUUUUUUUUUUAAAUUAAAGCAAUAUAGUUAUCUAUACUUAUAAUCAACAUGUAAGGUUUUUUUUGUAAUAUUUUUCUUUAAAAAAAAACAACAAAGAAAACUUAUAAACAUUUAUUUAACUUAAUUUUUAAAAUUUCAUUUGCAUAUUAUGCCAAUUAUUUUUCUUUGUGUUACAUAAUUCCUUGUUUGAAGCACUAGAGAAAAAAGUUCCAAAACUGUUUAUUUUUAUUUUUAUCAAGUUUAAUAAUGUGGACAAUCAAAGGCUGCUGGUCAAAACAAAAGAAAAGGAAAAACAAUAUUUUUGCUGUAUCUGUGAUUUUUGUGUUGGAUUAGCUCCAAAUGUUGAUUGGAGUACAAUUAUUUUGGCAAAAUAUUUUGUACAUGCAAUAGCCACUUCUGGAAAUAAGUUAUAACUUAUAUCAAAAUUGACAUUAUCUUCAAGUGGAAAAUUAAAUAUCUACUAUUUUAGACAUUUAAGAAGCCGUGCUUUUUUUAUUAUUAUUAUUAUUAUUAUCCAACUUCAAUUAAUUCAGAAAAUAUUCAAUUAUGCUGAUUUAUGAAAAAUAUUUCAAAACUCAGUGUUAAAACAAUGGAAAGAGCAAUUUAAAAUCAAAUACUUUACUUUUUUACAAAACAAUUUCAAAGAAAAAGGUUUAGAAUUUUCUUCAUCCUUUAAUCUUUGAUUACUACAUUUCAUUCAGUUAUAGAAAAGUAAUUUAUAAGUGUGUAGUUGGAAUGUCACAUACAGCGAAUUUAAUUGAUGAUUCUUGAUUAUCAUUUUUUUUUGCAAUUUGUUUAUUAGCUUUAUUUUUAGAAUAUAACUCUUAUUGAUAUUCACUGCUCUUUCUAAUGACAUUUUGAAGUAAAAUAAAAAAUGUAAGUGAAGCUCAACCAUGAAUUAAACAGGUUUCUUAUGCCUGCUAUAAACAAUGGAAGUUUUACAUUUGUUUCUUUUUUUUUUCUUUUUCAAUUUUUUAUAUAUUAGUUGGUAUAUAACUUGACUUCAAUUUUUUUUUUCAAAAGUAAAACAAGAAUAUGAAAUAUUUUAUUCAUUAAAUAUGGUUACCAUUAUUCCAUCCAACUUAAAACAAUAGAUCAUUUGCAUAGAUAGAAAUGAACAGGAUUUGUUCUCCAGAAUAAUUAACCAUUAAGUGUUGUUAUUAACAUUUACUACAUUGGUUCUAUGUUGACUUUAUGAUAUAAAUCAUACAUCGAAUUCUAUCUUCUGGAGAAUAUUUAUAUACAGACUUGUCCAAGCGGAUCCGGCCUCUUUUGAAACACUGAAUGAUGAAAACGUUUUUUUUUUAAAAUGACUUUCAAAUAUUUUUAAAGUAUAUACAAUGUUUUAUUAUUGAUGAUCUUCAACUUCCUAUGAAAUUUAUUUCUCAAUAUAUCAUUUUAGUACUUUUGCUGUGUAUUCCAUGUGAUUCGAAAUUCAUUUUAUUGGGUUUUAACUGCAUUGUUAAACUGGACAUAGAACGCUCUAGGAUCCCAGAUUCUAAGAGUAAUAUAGAUAAGUAUUAAUGAAUUCUUAUUUCUUCCCAAAUGGUUAUACUUUCUGUAAUUCUAUUUGUGUUUUUUCUCCUAAAUGUUUGGCAAAAUUGUGUAUUUCAUUACAUUUGUAAUUUCUCUGUGAAUAUUAUGGUGCUACUUAUCAAUUCAGCAAUCUUACUUGUUGUGUAAAUAAAUUUGAUUAAUAACAGACAAGAUAUUUUGCUCCCUGCAUAAGCUUUUGUUAAGGAUGUCAAUCGAUUAUUUUUUACUAUUAAAUUGAGAAUGAUAUUUUAAUAUCAAUGUUUUAUCAGUUUUUUUUUUUGGAUCUCAUGACUGUUUUCUAACUUCCUGUAGUAAUUUUGAAAUUGCCACACUAAUUAAUUUCAGAUUUUUAUUAUUAUUAUUAUUAUUAUUAUUAUUAAUAUUAUUAUUAUUAUUAUUAUUAUUAUUUAGAUAUUAACAACUAUAAUGAUCAAAUUCUUGCUUAAACUUUUGGCUUGAUUUAAAAAAGAACAAUAGAAAUAUAUCAGACAUAUAAUAUGAGUAAAUAUAUAUUUCUAAGUAGAAAUCUUCUUGAAUUUUUCUUCUUUUCCUUUUAUAAUAUGUAAAAAUUGAACCAUUUCCAAAUUUCUUGCCAAAUUUGAUACAUUUUGUGGUGCGAGAUGUCUGAAAUAAACCAACUGGAAUCAAUAAAAAAAAGCAAAAUGACAUCUAUUAACAAAGUGUAAAAAAUAUUAAAUUAUAAAAUCACAUCGGCUAAUUAUGUAAUUAUUAAUGAAAUGCUGUCAGCUAUUAGCUUCUAUAUUGCCAUUCUAUAUCUCAUAUACUCAUAUAUACACAUACUCACACAGAUACUGUAUAUAAAUAUAUAUAUGUGUGUGUGUAUGUGUGUAUACAUACAUUCAUACAGUACACCAUACACAUAAACACACACAUAAACAUACAUACAUGCAUACAGCACACCACACACAUACAUAAAUACAAACAUACAUACACACAUACAUAUCAGAAAUAGCAAGACCAGAGCAAAUCAUGGCUGAAGCCAUUUUGUGGCAUUUGGGGGCCAAUUAAAAUGCCAACCCUUUCCUAAUCUACAUAGUACUCUGCAAUGUGGGAAAGGUCUUGGCAAGAGCAGAUGUUUGACUCCCCAAUGUUAUCAAUCUCUCUAUAUAAAUACAUAUGUAACUCCUCAAAAAUACAACCAUGGAGAAUAAAGUUUCCAAAUUUGCUAAAAUGAUUUGGAAAUUAUUAAUCAUAAAUGUACAAAUAACUCCAUAAUAGUCUGUAUAAUUAAGCAACUAAGACUGAGUUGAGAUGUUUUGCAUUUGUAUGUGAAAUAUUCUAUAGAUUUAAGAUGAGGAUUCACAGAUAUGAGCAUAAUAGGAAAAUAAUGUGUUCGAUUCUGACGUAUCAAAAAUAUAGCUAAAGAGAAUAAAUAUCUAGUUCUAUUUAUAAUGAAACUAUAAUGCUGGAUAUUGAGGCAGCUAUAUAUCUAAGACUAUAUAUUAUCGUUUUUGUUUAAACACUAUAUUAAAAUAUUCUAACAUGAGAUAAAAAAUUUCAGAAGUCUGCUUUUGUACUUCAAAAUUUUAAAGAAUUCAUUCUUUUAGUUAAACACUUAAAUGUGUAGAAAAUAUUAAAAUUUUGGAGUGUUAUGAGUUGAGAAGUCAAUAUCUCUAUAUACUAGUAUUUUUGUAAGUUUUUCUCUUCAAGGUUUUACUUAAAAUAUGCAACAAAAAUAAAAAUAAAACAUAACAAAAAUAUAUAUUAAAAAUAGUCAGGUUCAAGGUAACUGAAGUUUUGAUAUGAAUUCAAAAUAAGUACAUGUUGUCAUUCAUUAUCUGUUUAAAUUUAAUCAUGUACCUAAUAACUGACAUUGCCAAUAUAAAAUACCAGACUAGUACAGCCAUCAAUAUGAAGAUAACUUCUAGUGAAGAUAAAGUAGUGUAAGUUUUUGAUAGGGAAGAAUGUACUGAAAUAGUUUGCUGUUGUUUUCUUCAUGCCUUCAAAAGGACUUAAAGCUCAUUACUGCAAGGUAUUAAAGAUAAUUUAUUAUUUAGUGCUUUUACUAUUUUUCUUAAAUAAGCUCUACCAACUUAGUAAUUAUACUCUGGUGGAUUAACCCAGUAUGAGUUAAUUGUCUCUUCUAUAAAUGAAGCUCAGCUCAGUUGCUAUUAUACAAGCCCAUCAAUCGUCUGUGAACUAAAAUAAGAUAUGCAUGCAAUUCACAAGCAUUUCUAAAUAAUACUAAGAUUUAAGUGCAGUAUACAGUACUAAAGAAUCUUUGGAUGAAAUUCUUCAUAUCUGUUCUUUAUGGGCAAUAUUCAUUACCAAACAGUAACAAGUGUCAUGGGAGUAAAGUGUGCACAUCUGGAAUAUCAAGAGAGGAACCAACCUUUGAUUUUCAGCUGAAACACUUUCAGUUUAAUGAUGUUUUGUAUGCCCUUAGUAAAACCUUGAACAUCAUAAAUUCAUAUUUCCAAUCCCUGAAAUAUAUGACCAUUUUGCUCUGAUCAAAACAAAUAUUCAUUUCCAGAUUUAUCCUUCUUUAUAUUAUCAAACAUUUUUGCCAUGUUUUCUUUUUUUUAAACGUUUAUAUUUCCUUUGUUAGCUUUAAAUGCUGGUCAAUAAUUUAGAUUUUAUUUUUCAAAACUUACAUAGAUUAUGAUAUAAUAAUAAACACCACUACACUUAGUAUGAUUUAUUAUAAGCUUUCUUCUCUUUGCAAUGAUAACAGCAAGUUAUUUCUAAAUAUAUCUGUAUAACUUUUUUCCUUUAAAACAAAGCUAUGAUUUUUUAAAGAUUUGAUUUUCUUCUAUUUAACUUUAUUUUGUUUAUUGACUUCAAUUUCUCUUCAAUUCCCUAUUAUUGUUUUCAUUUCUUUAUUUGAAUAUUGGAUGAAAGACUAUUAUUUCAUUUCAUUUGUACAUUUUAUUUUGUUCAAGAAUUUUUCAUAUAUUCUUUACUUUUUUAUUUUUAUUGUUAUUUAUUUGUUUAUUUGUUCGUUUAUUUAUUUUUAAAAUCAAAACUAAACUUUGUUUAAAGAGCAAGAAGAAUAUCCAAAAAUAAAGUAAAGUUAUGAAUAAAUAUUUUUCUUUAUAGUGGGGUGGUGUAAUUAUUGAUAUUCACAGAAAUAAUAGUUAUGAUUUUUUAAUGACUUCUAUAUAAAUUGAUAUUUCUACAGUUCUUAUCAUCAAUAUUUCUUGAAAAACAAGCGAGUUAGAGAAAAUACGUCAUAUCUGAGUUUAAAUCUACUGGGAUUAACCUUAGCUUACAUCACUCUGGGCUUGAUAAAAUAAGAACUCGCAUGAUGAUUUAAUCAUCUGCCACUCACCUCCUACUAAAAUUAUUUCGUAUAUAAAUGAAAAAUUAAUUCUUCUUGCAGAAAAGAUUAUGUAUAAAUUCCAUUUGAAGAAAAUCAAUUACUUUCUUUUGAAUUCUUUAUUAGUAUAGAAUUUUAUAAUCAGACUUACAAUCUAAGUAUGUUUAUAUGAAUAACCACAGAAAUACUAAAUUUGAUCAGCAUUUUUAGUUCAUAAUGUGAAAAAUAAACUUUCACUCAAAUUCAAAAGGAAACACUGGUUUGAUGCUCAUUUCAUUGAAUUGACAAACACACAAGAUUUUCAUCAUUUCAGCAAUCAAGGAUUCUGAACAAGUUUUCUUGACAAGAAGUAAAUGGUCUAAACACAGCCCUAUUCAUCAGCCGAAUUUUCAUGAAUUUGAUCAGUUCUCUAUAAACUAUCCACUCCUCUGUAAAUAAUAUUGGAAUUGUUCUUAUUUCUUGCCUCUUUGAAUCCCUUCACCUUCAUUAUUAGCUCAUUCUUCAAACGAAAAUAAAUUCAAAAGUUUUCUAUUAGUAAAAGUAGAUUAAAUUUUGACACUGAUUUUAUGAAAAUAGUUUUUCAUUUCUUUGGUGUAUGUAUUAAAUCAUUAGUCAUUAUACACUUUUUUGUUUUUUCAAAUUUGAGUUCUUCAUUUGAUAAGUUCCUUUCCUGUAUCAAGUUGUAUAAACUAUCUUUAUAUUAACCAUUUUACAAAAUUUAGAGUUUUAUUAAAUUAUUCAACUUAAACAUAUAAACUAUUGUAGAGAACAUUUUAUCAGUCGCUCCUGAUAUUAAAAGAUAUAAAUUCUUUCAACAAAUUUAUUGCGGAGUGCAAUGUUCCCUCUAAUCUUUUGCUGUGGUUGUGUGCAGAAUUUUGCAAAUUUGCAAAUUUUGUGUUUCCUUGCAAAGUGUACAUCUAUAUGAGUAACCAUUGCUCAAAUUUCUUCAGUUAAAAAAAUUUUAUUUCAUCUUGAAAAUCAUGCGUGCACACAUUUUUUCUCUCCUAUUUGUAAAACAUCUGUGCACAGGCACAAGCACACAGCUUAGAGGAAACACUGGUGGAAUGACAUAGUUUCUAUUCUUGCCUUGAUCAUCAAAUUAUGUACUGCUUCUCAUUGCUUUAGGUUGAAUUAAUUAAGCCCAAAUGUCAAGUAUUUUCAACUAUCAUAUAGGCUUUCAGAAAAUAAAUGAAGAACUUAGAAUUUUUUUCCUGUUUUACAAUCCCCCACCCGCACUUAAUCUUUCUAGGAUUUAAGGAAACAUUUUCUAAAUAUUAUAAUUAUAACCGUUCUGUUUGAGUCUUUUAAACAGUCAUUUUUAUUUUUUAAGGAAUGCUUUCUAUAAAGACGAGCCAAUGUGAUAUUCUGACAACUGUCAACAAAACUUUCAAAAUGGCAUAGUAAAGAAAAUGAAAACAGCCUUAUUGAUGAAAAUACAAUCAUGAGAGUAAAUAGUUACAUCAUAGAAAAUCUUUUACUAGAUAUCUAUUCAUUCACAUGAUGGCAUAGAUGAAGUAAAUCUACUUAUAGUCAUUCCCUAACCAGGAACUUCUCAAAUGGUGCUAACAAAAUCUUUUAGAGUGAAUUAAACAAUAGAUAUUCACUAAGUACAGAAAUCAUUCUCCUCACAAUGAAAUGCAUUACAUAUUUUUAUUAAUAUCAUUUCUGGAAGGGAUUAAUUGUUUGAUAAAAUUUAUGGCACUUAUUUUUUGGAUGUUCAGUUUUUUCUUUGUUUUUUGUUUUUAAUUUCUUUUUAGCAAUAGUUUAUAAACAUCAUAUAACUAAGAAUAUAUGACUGGUACAAGGGCAAAUCUUCAGCAUACAAAAAUAUUUUUUACAUUUGCCAUUUAUUAAAGCUGCAUGCACAUAUAAAAUUUUCAUUGAAAUUGAAUGUUAAUUUCCCAAACUCUGAUGUUUAUAUUUCCUCAAUCAAGUCAUUAGUUCAGGUAAGUUGAGUUUUUGGUCUUAAAACUGCACUAAUCCUAAUUUAGAGUAUAUUUCACCAUUUCAGAUCUCAAUUUGAGUAAUGUUGAAGAAUUUAAUAUUAAUUACUUUGCCCUAUGUCUCAAUUAUGUUUAAGGAUCUUGUUCAGUAUGAAAUAAUAAAUUCUGGAAAAACAAAUUAAUAUUUGCGUGUAACAAACUUUGUAAUUAAUAAAAACGAAUUCUUAAAACAUUUUUCUCUAUCAUUUUUCUGAGACCAUGGAGGCUUUUGUUAUCAUGAAUAGUAUCUUUUCUAAAGUUUGUAAUUAUGUAAUUACUGUAAAAUUAAUAUGCUUCUUAAAUAUUGUAUUGGAUGAAGAAGGCAAAUAUAAUAAUUUUUUUUUAAAUUAUGAUUUUAUUGCUGGUAUUUUCUCUUAGCUUUUUAACUUUGCCUAAAUCUUUUUAUUGUCUUUUUCUCUUGGUUGUAGAUUUUUUUUAAUGCAAAUAAAUAUAUGGUCUGCUUCCAGCCAAUUCAGUCCCAUUUAUCCCGGUGAAUAGCUUUUGCUAGGUGCCAAAAUCAUAUGACAUAACUCAAAUAUUUUCAUUAGAGAUAUUCUUAAAUUUUCUUUGAGCAAACUCUUAUUUAUCUAAUAAAUUUACUUCUUAUGCAUUCACAAUCAAAAAUAGGUGGAAAAGCAUUUUCAUGUAGGACACGAUAAUUAAAAAUGACAUUUGCUUUGUACCAAUUUAAUUAAAGUAUAGGUUUGAAUGCUUUUUUUUUAAAGUUUUGCAUUCAAACUAGCAUGUCUCUGUCUGUGUGUAUGUUUUUUAUGUGCAUGAAUCUGUGCCUGUUUAUCUGUGUGUCUAAGUUUACUUAUCAUGUUAUCUAUGUUGAAAUAUUUUGUAUAACAGCUUCUACUCUUCCCUACUUCCAGUUUACUAUUUCAAAUCUCUAAUAUUAGUUUGUCAGGUUUCUCUUUGUGUCAGAUCUAAUUUUUCUCUCUCCUCAAACUACUUUUUACUUUCUGUCCUUUUUUAACUUAUUAUCUCUUCCAUCUACUUGAUAUUAUGUAUACAGUGACAAUAUGGAAACUGUCAAUCUAUAUAUUUGAUAUUAUUUACAUCACCACCAAUGAGUUAAUGUCACUUUAUGUAUACUGAGGUGAGUGGGACGAUAAUUACAGUAAACAGACAACUUAAUCAAUAGUUAAUGAAUGACAACUUAAUCAAUAGUUACAAAAUAUCAAAUUCACAUACAUAAGAGCACUUUUAGAUAUAGCUGAAAUAUUUUUUUAAGUCAGGUUACAUAAUACACUUUAGGAUUUAUUAGAUUGUUGGAGUAGAUACUCACACUGGUAUGCGCAUGCUUUAUCAAGCACACAUUUCAUAAAUUCUUUUAUUCCUUUUUUAAACAGCUAUGAAUAGUAAAAUGACAUUUUAUUUUAUGUAAAGAUAUAUGGUUAGUCACAAAUUAAAACAUAUUCUAUCACAGUUAUUUCCCCUCAUUAGAGCCUUGAAAUGUAUAGAAUUCCAAAAUAUAUCAUGGCUUGUGAGUCAUCUAUUGUUUAUUCAUUGCACUUUGAAAAUGGAAAUAUAUUCCUAAAUAUGUAAACAUUUCAUCAAUAUGCAAGUUAAUCAAUUUAGAUGUGCAAUUAUUAAGAAAUAAUUUUAGGCCUAUUUUACUUAUUUUUUACAAAUUCCUUGUCAAUUUUAUUAGUUGUUGAUGAAUACACCUUUCGAUCUUACCUUAUCAAACUUGUGACCAGAAAUAAUUGCUGAAAUUUUAAUUAAUGAUUCAGCAAUGCAGAUAGAAGUUAUAUGGCUACCAGUGCCAGCAUUCUCUUCAGAUACAGCAGUUGUCCAAGAAUUUUAAGGGUGUGAAAAUAUUAAGAGGAGUUUAUGCCAAUAAAUUGAGCUUCAAGUAAGUCACAUGUGACCUGUUAGAAACAGUAGUCCAAAACUCUCUCAGACCACAACAUACCAUUUCAGAAAAGGUCAUAUUUAAUGGUAUGGUUCUGGGUUUCCCUGUUUACAGGAAAAAGAUAAGGUGGAACUUUUGGUCAAAACCUUUGAUCUCAGGCCUGGUCUGUUAGGGUUUACUGUAAUUACCAAAGUAGUGAUGAGAGAAUCAUUUGGUAGGUAUUCAAUAAUAAACACCAAUAAGUGUAGAAAGUCACAAUAUUUUUGAAAUAAUAAAUUAUGUAGAAAUGUAGAAGCUAUCCAUAUAAAAAGACUAGAACUAAUUUUGUAGUAACAUAUCUAAUGCAAGGAACAUAACAAAAUGUAACUGGAAGUAAUCUGCAUUGAUGAGAAAAGAAAAAAAUUAUCAGUUAAUAUGAUUUUGAUUGCUUGCCAAACAAGUAUGGAACAUAACUCAGGACAAGUUUUGACCCUCAAGAAAGCUUAGCCGUGACUGUACAAUGUACACAUAUAUUGGUUGCUAAUAUUCUCUGCUUUACUAUUUCUUUCCCUCUCUUAUUCUUUUCAUUCUAUAAUUUUAGCUAUAAAACUAUCCUUCAAAUUAUAUUUAUUAAUAUUCAGUUACUUAGAUUCAGACGAGAAGUCAGACAAGCAUAAAAAAAUAUAACUUGCUGUGUGUGAGA